rnacentral:ncRNA from 1 species
UAUCAACUGACCUAGCAGACAAGCCAAGAUGAUAGACUUUUUCCUUUAGGAGGAAAUAUG